rnacentral:rRNA from 1 species
GACGAACGCUGGCGGCGUGCUUAACACAUGCAAGUCGAACGUGAUUUUUGUGGAAAUUCUUUCGGGAAUGGAAAUGAAAUGAAAGUGGCGAACGGGUGAGUAACACGUGAGCAACCUACCUUACACAGGGGGAUAGCCGUUGGAAACGACGAUUAAUACCGCAUGAGACCACAGAAUCGCAUGAUAUAGGGGUCAAAGAUUUAUCGGUGUAAGAAGGGCUCGCGUCUGAUUAGCUAGUUGGAAGGGUAAAGGCCUACCAAGGCGACGAUCAGUAGCCGGCCUGAGAGGAUGAACGGCCACAUUGGAACUGAGACACGGUCCAAACUCCUACGGGAGGCAGCAGUGGGGAAUAUUGCACAAUGGGGGGAACCCUGAUGCAGCGACGCCGCGUGAGCGAAGAAGGUUUUCGAAUCGUAAAGCUCUGUCCUAUGAGAAGAUAAUGACGGUAUCAUAGGAGGAAGCCCCGGCUAAAUACGUG